rnacentral:tRNA from 1 species
GGUAAAAUGGCCGAGUGUUAGGCGGUAGUCUGUAGAACUACUUACAGGGGUUCAACUCCUCUUUUUAUCAU